rnacentral:sRNA from 21 species
UAAGGUCCAACGACAGGAUCAUGAUGAGGGAAUGUGUUACCCUCACGCUGCUGGGAUGUCGGCUUCAUGGCUUCCAGAGAGCGACCGUUGUA